AUACGGAGGGUCCAAGCGUUAUCCGGAUUCAUUGGGUUUAAAGGGUCCGCAGGCGGGAAAAUAAGUCAGUGGUGAAAGCCUACAGCUCAACUGUAGAACUGCCAUUGAUACUGUUUUUCUUGAGUAUAGAUGAAGUGGGCGGAAUAUAUCAUGUAGCGGUGAAAUGCAUAGAUAUGAUAUAGAACACCGAUUGCGAAGGCAGCUCACUAAACUAUUACUGACGCUCAGGGACGAAAGCGUGGGGAGCGAACAGGAGUAGAAACCCUAGUAGUCC
rnacentral:rRNA from 1 species